rnacentral:rRNA from 1 species
GAUGAACGCUGGCGGCGUGCCUAAUACAUGCAAGUCGAGCGAACAGACGAGGAGCUUGCUCCUCUGACGUUAGCGGCGGACGGGUGAGUAACACGUGGAUAACCUACCUAUAUGACUGGGAUAACUUCGGGAAACCGGAGCUAAUACCGGAUAAUAUAUUGAACCGCAUGGUUCAAUAGUGAAAGACGGUUUUGCUGUCACUUAUAGAUGGAUCCGCGCCGCAUUAGCUAGUUGGUAAGGUAACGGCUUACCAAGGCAACGAUGCGUAGCCGACCUGAGAGGGUGAUCGGCCACACUGGAACUGAGACACGGUCCAGACUCCUACGGGAGGCAGCAGUAGGGAAUCUUCCGCAAUGGGCGAAAGCCUGACGGAGCAACGCCGCGUGAGUGAUGAAGGUCUUCGGAUCGUAAAACUCUGUUAUUAGGGAAGAACAAAUGUGUAAGUAACUAUGCACGUCUUGACGGUACCUAAUCAGAAAGCCACGGCUAACUACGU